rnacentral:rRNA from 1 species
UACAGAGGAUGCAAGCGUUGUCCGGAAUCAUUGGGCGUAAAGAGCGUGUAGGCGGCCCGAUAAGUCCGCUGUGAAAGUCCAGGGCUCAACCCUGGAAUGCCGGUGGAUACUGUCGGGCUCGAAUCCGGAAGAGGUGAGUGGAAUUCCUGGUGUAGCGGUGAAAUGCGCAGAUAUCAGGAGGAACACCAAUGGCGAAGGCGGGGUCUCUGGGGCCGAUGACUGACGCUGGAGGAGCGAAAGCGUGGGGAGCGAACAGG